rnacentral:lncRNA from 1 species
GGGUUGUACGGGGGAAACUUGAAAAAGCAAGUAAAAGGCAUUAAGCUCAAUUGUUGUGAAAAGAGAAAAACUCAUGAGAAAAAGAAAAGAAAAGAAGAAAAGCAUGAAGAUGAGCUCAAUGACAAAGAAAAGAAAAGGGAAGAAGUUAGGAAUGAGAAAUUUUGGUGAGAGAGUUGUGCUUAAUUGUUGAAUAUUUUGAUAGUUCUUUUGACUCAAGGAUUUUGCAUUCUAGAAAAACCAAUUUUCCUUGUUAGCCCAACCUCAUUACAAGCCUUGAAAAGUCCUUUUGAUGACAUUUACAUGUAAGGAUGUUGAUU